CUAAAAAUUAUACUGAGGUGGGUAUCUCAGCUCAAAAAAGACAAAUGUAAGCAUGUUCUGUCUCUUAUGCAGAUUCUGGCCCCUGAUAUUAUAUUUUGUGCAUCUCAGAGCAGAAGUGGAAGUCAGGCAACUAGGAAACACCAUGGGGAGAAGACACAUUAAGUUAAAUAUUAGAGUCUGGUAUGUUAAAGUAGUCUUUAAUGAGGAGGAACUAAAGAUGAAUAUAAUGCAGUCCUGUUUUCUAUGGAGGAGAUUAUCAUCUCAUUAUGAGGGAGAAGAAUACAAGCCACAAUCCUUCGUCUCUACUCUUCCUAUGCUACAAAUAUUCAAAGACAGGAAUAAUUAUGGGUCAGAGGUAUAUCGGACAUUCUUAAAAUGACAAUACUGUACAGGAAGAAUAAUGUAAAUCACCAUUAACUAGAAUCCUGACA
rnacentral:lncRNA from 1 species